rnacentral:rRNA from 1 species
CCUACGGGAGGCAGCAGUGAGGAAUAUUGGUCAAUGGGCGCUAGCCUGAACCAGCCAAGUCGCGUGAAGGAUGACUGCCCUAUGGGUUGUAAACUUCUUUUAUAUGGGAAUAAAGUGCAGUAUGUAUACUGCUUUGCAUGUACCUUAUGAAUAAGGAUCGGCUAACUCCGUGCCAGCAGCCGCGGUAAUAAGGAGGAUCCGAGCGUUUUCCGGAUUUUUUGGGGUUAAAGGGAGCGUAGGCGGGUUGUUAAGUCAGUUGUGAAAGUUUGCGGCCCAACCGUCAAAUUGCAGUUGAUACUGGCAUUCUUGAGUACGGGAGAGGUAGGCGGAAUUCGUGGUGUAGCGGUGAAAUGCUUAGAUAUCACGAAGAACUCCGAUUGCGAAGGCAGCCUGCUGGACUGUAACUGACGCUGAUGCUCGAAAGUGUGGGUAUCAAACAGGAUUAGAUACCCGAGUAGUC